rnacentral:rRNA from 1 species
CCUACGGGAGGCAGCAGUGGGGAAUAUUGGACAAUGGGGGGAACCCUGAUCCAGCAAUGCCGCGUGUGUGAAGAAGGCCUGAGGGUUGUAAAGCACUUUCAGUGGGGAGGAGGGUUGAUAGGUUAAGAGCUAAUUAACUGGACGUUACCCACAGAAGAAGCACCGGCUAACUCCGUGCCAGCAGCCGCGGUAAU